GACGGCGGCGGGCUGAUUGACUUGUUCGGGUAGUUCCGGGAAGCGCGCGACGUUAGUCGGUGCUCCCUUGUCUCUCCCCCCCCCCCGCUCUCUUCGUCACGCGCUCCCCUCCCCUUCCGCCCUGCUGCCUUGUCACCAGCUGCUGCGGGGACCGGGGAACCUCCGCGGGACCAUGGCCGGCCAGCAGGACAAGGCUGCCUUAAUUAGCGAAACCAGACGGCGCUUUGAGACUGAAUAUGUGCCAGAUAAAUCAGAUAAAUAUGAUUCCAGAGAUGUGGAAAGAUUGCAGCAAGAUGAUGAUUGGAUUGAAAAUUAUUUAAUUUGGCGUCAUGAUGUUGUGGAUGAUACACUGAAGAUGAUUGAUGAAAGCUUUCAGUGGAGGAAAGAAUACAUGGUCAACGAUUUGUCUGAAGCUGCCCUUCCAAAAUGGUUAUUUGAAAAUGGCGCUCUUUACCUGCAUGGAUAUGAUAAAGAGGGCUACAAGUUAUUCUGGUUCAGGGUGAAGUUUCAUACAAAAGAUCCUAAACUGCAGUUUGAAAAAAAGAAGUUUGUAGCCUUUUGGUUAGAGCAUUAUGCCAGAAGAGAGCAUGGGAAGCCUUUAACAGUGGUGUUUGACAUGGCUGAAACUGGAGUCAGUCACAUAGACUUGGACUUCAUUCGGUUCAUCAUCAACUGUUUUAAAAUUUAUUAUCCUAAUUACCUCUCAAAGAUAGUGAUCUUUGAAAUGCCAUGGAUAAUGAAUGCUGCUUUUAAAAUUGUGAAGGGCUGGCUUGGUCCAGAUGCGAUAAGCAUGUUGAAGUUUGCAAACAAGAAUGAAGUGCAGGAAUACAUCAGUGCAGAGUAUCUGCCUGCCUACAUGGGUGGAAUUGAUACUUUUAAGUACAGUUACCCUCCAUUGGUUGAUGAUGAUUUUCAAACUCCAUUAUGUGAAAAUGGACCUAUUACUACUGAAGAUGAAACUGAAAGUAAAGAGGAGGCGGAAGCAGACAGCAAGGAGGCUGGAGAAUCCAGUGAAGAGCAAAUUCUCAAUGUGAAAAAGGUAUGUUCUGUAGAACAAAUUUCCAAACCAGACGAGAAUGACAAAACAGAUUCCAAAACAAAAAAUGCAAAGAAAGCGUUAACCAUUUUUAAAGGACCGUUAUUACAUAUAAGUCCGGCAGAAGAGCUGUUUUUUGGAUCCAAAGAAAUUGGAGAGAAAAAAUGCUUGAUAGUUCUCACAAAUGUGACUAAAAAUGUAGUGGCCUUUAAGGUGAGAACAACUGCUCCUGACAAGUAUAGAGUUAAACCAAGUAAUAGUAGCUGUGAACCUGGUACAUCAAUAGACAUAGUUGUAUCCCUCCAUGGUGGUUUUGCCGCUUCCCUGCAGGACCGUUUCCUGAUAAUGGCAGCAGAAAUGGACCAGGCUUCUGGAGCAGGCGUACCAGAAUUAGCUCAGUUUUGGAAAGAAGUCCCUAGAAACAAAGUGAUGGAACAUAGGUUAAGAUGUCAUGUUGUAGAAAGUAGCAAGCCUUCUACUCUGACAUUAAAAGAGAAUUCAUUUAAUAUUCCUACAAAAACCAAUGAAGAUUUACACUUACAGGUUCCUGACAUCUCCAGAUGGGAACCAGUAAUGGGAGGGAGAGGGGUGCACAGCCACAGCUAAGAACUUGAAAGAACGAGCACAGAGCUCAAAGUGGGUCUGCAUAUUGGAAGCAGUUCCGGUGGUCCUGUGAGGUAUGGUACAGACAGUCCAAAUGGAAAAAAAAAUGUCCAGAUGAGAAAUUGACAUGUUUUCGAGAAGGUGCUUUGAAACAUUCCCUUCCCUGCAAGUUCACAGAGCAUGGAUACUUUGUACCAUUGAGUGGUUCAGAAACAUCAGGGCUACCAUGAAGCCACUUUCUUAGAGAGAAGAUCCCAGUUUUCAACCCAUUAAAGCAGCUGGAUACAUAGUUAUAAACUCAUCUCCUGUAGUAGGUUCUUUUCCUCUGAGACUAAGAUUUUAAAGUGCUAGACAGCAACUGAGGGAGCAAUAACUUAUCAAAAGGGGAAAACAUGGCCAGGCAGAGCCCAAUACUCCCAGGAUUCAAAGUCCAGCUGGCAAAUUGCCUGCUAUAUAGUAAAAGAGAGAAUUCAUCAUUUUACUUUGUCUUAACCCCAAACACAGCUUUAGGAGUGUACUUAGUGAUUAUUGCCAAAGGUGAUCAAAACAGGAGUAACAAAGAGUCUGGUGGCACCUUAAAGACUAACAGAUUUAUUUGGGCAUAAGCUUUCGUGAGUAAAAACCUCACUUCUUCGGAUGCAUGAGGCUACCCCCUGAUACAAAACAGGAGUGGAGUUUAAAAGGUUUGUGACAGUUACCAGAACCCUGGGCCAGCUCCAUGAUUAGGUUUUCCCUGAGCUACUGGGGAGGAUGAUCAGGUGGUGAAUUGCCUUCCCCUCUGGGCCUGCUGCCAAAGAGAAAGAGAACGGGUCAGGUUGCGAGUAAUGAAGUCCAUGACAACACCCUGAAAGGGUCCCCAGCUGUUGGUAAUAACAGGGUGAGCCUUAAGCACUACCUCUAAAUAAAUACAGCUUUAUAAAGAACAAAUGGUUGGACGUCUUCUUCUUGACUAGCAACCAAACCAUGGAUACCUACAGUGAACUUUAACUUGCACAUCACUUUCAGGCCUUUCUGAAUGUACUUGCCUGCUUUUACGGCAGGUUACUCAGCUUAUCUGUUUAAAAGACAUUGUGCUGCUCAAUAAUUAGCUACUGUUUCAAACAUUCAGAUUAAAAUCCUGCCAUAGCUCUCCCUCAGCUUGGUAGGGCAAGGAGAAGCAGUGGCAGCUGGGUGGAAUGCCCAGAGCCCAUCUCACUUGUUCAAGGCAAGAUGGUUGAGGAUAACG